rnacentral:rRNA from 1 species
AACGAACGCAGGCGGCAGGCCUAACACAUGCAAGUCGAACGCACCGCAAGGUGAGUGGCGCACGGGUGAGUAACACGUGGGAAUGUAUCCUUUGGUUCGGAAUAACGUCUGGAAACGGACGCUAAUACCGGAUGAGCCCUAUGGGGGAAAGAUUUAUCGCCGAAGGAGCAGCCCGCGUCUGAUUAGGUAGUUGGUGGGGUAAAGGCCUACCAAGCCGACGAUCAGUAGCUGGUCUGAGAGGAUGAUCAGCCACACUGGGACUGAGACACGGCCAAAACUCCUACGGGAGGCAGCAUUGGAGAAUAUUGGACAAUGGGCGCAAACCUGAUCCAGCCAUGCCGCGUGGGUGAUGCAGGCCUACGGGUUGUAAAUCUCUUUCUCACACGACGAUGAUGACGGUAGUGGGAGAAGAAGCCCCGGCUAACAUCGUGCCAGCAGCCGCCGUAACAC